AGAGAUGCACUGGGUGUAAAGCGUGCGCAGGCGGUUUUGUAAGACAGAGGUGAAAUCCCCGAGCUCAACCUGGUAACUGCCUUUGUGACUGCAAGGCUGGAGUGCGGCAGAGGGGGAUGGAAUUCCGCGUGUAGCAGUGAAAUGCGUAGAUAUGCGGAGGAACACCGAUGGCGAAGGCAAUCCCCUGGGCCUGCACUGACGCUCAUGCACGAAAGCGUGGGGAGCAAACA
rnacentral:rRNA from 1 species